UUCGGGGGACAGGGUGACAGGUGGUGCAUGGUUGUCGUCAGCUCGUGUCGUGAGAUGUUGGGUUAAGUCCCGCAACGAGCGCAACCCUCGCCUCUAGUUGCCAGCAUUCGGUUGGGCACUCUAGAGGGACUGCCGGCGACAAGUCGGAGGAAGUGGGGAUGACGUCAAAUCAUCAUGCCCCUUAUGACCUGGGCUACACACGUGCUACAAUGGGCGGUACAAAGGGCUGCGAACCCGCGAGGGGGAGCGAAUCCCAAAAAGCCGCUCUCAGUUCGGAUUGCAGGCUGCAACUCGCCUGCAUGAAGCCGGAAUCGCUAGUAAUCGCGGAUCAGCAUGCCGCGGUGAAUACGUUCCCGGGCCUU
rnacentral:rRNA from 1 species